rnacentral:misc_RNA from 1 species
GCAAACUUGGUCAUUUAGAGGAAGUAAAAGUCGUAACAAGGUCUCCGUAGGUGAACCUGCGGAGGGAUCAUUUCUGAAUCCAGGCCACUGUGCUCUCCAGUUUGAAGUCUCCAAAGACUGCUCACUGUUGGGCCAUGGGCUUGCCUUUCUUCAAACCUGUGGGCAGAGAUGUGGAUUGGCGACCACCCGGAAGGGCGGCGCCUCUUCAAUGCAGCCAAGCCUUUUGUGUCUGAUUUGAUGAAAUUCAUUUAAAACUUUCAACAACGGAUCUCUUGGCUCUUGCAUCGAUGAAGAACGCAGC